AGUUUGAUCAUACUGGGAUUGAACGCUGGCGGGAUGCUUUACACAUGCAAGUCGAACGGCAGCACGGACUUCGGUCUGGGUGGCGAGUGGCGAACGGGCGGAGUAAUGUAUCGGAACGUGCCUAGUAGCGGGGGAUAACUACGCGAAAGCGUAGCUAAUACCGCAUACGCCCUUCGGGGAAAGCGGGGGACCUUCGGGCCUCGCACUAGGAGCGGCCGAUAUCGGAUUGGGCUAGUUGGUGGGGUAACGGCUCAUGCGACGAUCCGUGGCUGGUUUGAGAGGACGACCAGCCACACUGGGACUGAGACACGGCCCAGACUCGCCGGAGGCAGCAGGGGGAAUUUUGGACAAUGGGGGAAACCCCGAUCCAGCCAUCUCGCGUGUGCGAUGAAGGUCAGGUUGUAAAGCACUUUGGCAGGAAAGAAACGGCACGGGAUAAUACCCUCGUGCAACUGACGGUACCUGCAGAAUAAGCACCGGCUAACUACGUGCCAGCAGCCGCGGUAAUACGUAGGGUGCAAGCGUUAAUCGGGCCAUUGGGCGUAGCGUAAGUGCAGCAGGCGGUUCGGAAAGAAAGAUGUGAAAUCCCAGAGCUUAACUUUGGAACUGGCAUUUUUAACUACCGAGCUAGAGUGUCAGAGGGGAGGUGGAAUUCCGCGUGUAGCAGUGAAAUGCGUAGAUAUGCGGAGGAACACCGAUGGCGAAGGCAGCCUCCUGGGAUAACACUGACGCUCAUGCACGAAAGCGUGGGGAGCAAACAGGAUUAGAUACCCUGGUAGUCCACGCCCUAAAAUGAUGUCAACUAGCUGUUGGGGCCUUCGGGCCUUGGUAGCGCAGCUAACGCGUGAAGUUGACCGCCUGGGGAGUACGGUCGCAAGAUUAAACUCAAAGGAAUUGACGGGGACCCGCAUGUAUGGUGGAUGAUGUGGAUUAAUUCCGAUGCAACGCGAAAAACCUUACCUACCCUUGACAUGUUCCGGAAUCCUUGAAGAUUUGGGAGUGCUCGCAAGAGAACCGGAACACAGGUGCCGUAUGGCUGUCGUCAGCUCGUGUCGUGAGAUGUUGGGUUAAGUCCCGCAACGAGCGCAAACUUGUCAUUAGUUGCCAUGAAAGGGCACUCUAAUGAGACUGCCGGUGACAAACCGGAGGAAGGUGGGAUGACGUCAAGUCCUCAUGGCCCUUAUGUGGGUAGGGCUUCACACGUCAUACAAUGGUCGGGACAGAGGGUCGCCAACCCGCGAGGGGGAGCCAAUCCCAGAAACCCGAUCGUAGUCCGGAUCGCAGUCUGCAACCUGACUGAAAGAAGUCGGAAUCGCUAGUAAUCGCGGAUCAGCAUGUCGCGGUGAAUACGUUCCCGGGUCUUGUACACACCGUCACACCUCAUGGAGUGGGUUUACCAGAAGUAGUUAGCUCAACCGUAAGGAGGGCGAUUACCACGGUAGGAUUCAUGACUGGGUGAAGUCGUAACAAGGCAA
rnacentral:rRNA from 1 species